rnacentral:rRNA from 1 species
UACGUAGGGUGCGAGCGUUAAUCGGAAUUACUGGGCGUAAAGCGUGCGCAGGCGGUCGUGCAAGUCGCGUGUGAAAGCCCCCGGCUCAACUGGGGAGGGUCACGCGAUACUGUUCGACUCGAAGGCAGGAGAGGGAAGCGGAAUUCCCGGUGUAGUGGUGAAAUGCGUAGAUAUCGGGAGGAACACCAGUGGCGAAGGCGGCUUCCUGGCCUGUUCUUGACGCUGAGGCGCGAAAGCUAGGGUAGCAAACGGG